UGAGCAAUCUGCCCUUCACAUCGGAAUAACCAUUGGAAACGAUGGCUAAUACCGAAUAUGACUUCGGAUCGCAUGAUCUGAAGUGGAAAGCUCCGGCGGUGAAGGAUGAGCUCGCGGCCUAUCAGCUAGUUGGUGGGGUGACGGCCCACCAAGGCGAUGACGGGUAGCCGGCCUGAGAGGGCGACCGGCCACACUGGGACUGAGACACGGCCCAGACUCCGUACGGG
rnacentral:rRNA from 1 species